UACGGAGGAUGCAAGCGUUAUCCGGAUUUAUUGGGUUUGAAGGGCGCGUAGGCGGUUUGCUAAGCGGGAGGUGAAUGCCGGCGCUCAACGUCGGAAGUGCCUCCCGAAAUAGUGGACUGGAAUGACUCUGCCGUGGGAGGAAUGUGUAGUGUAGCGGUGAAAUGCUUAGAGAUUACACAGAACACCGAUUGCGAAGGCAUCUCACGAAGGGUUGAUUGACGCUGAGGCACGAAAGCGUGGGGAUCAAACA
rnacentral:rRNA from 1 species